rnacentral:rRNA from 1 species
GAUGAACGCUGGCGGCGUGCUUAACACAUGCAAGUCGAACGAACCUUCGGGUUAGUGGCGGACGGGUGAGUAACGCGUGAGAAUCUGCCCUCAGGAGGGGGACAACAGUUGGAAACGACUGCUAAUACCCCAUAUGCCGCGAGGUGAAAUGAAUUUCGCCUGAGGAUGAGCUCGCGUCUGAUUAGCUAGUUGGUGUAGGUAAUGGCUCACCAAGGCAUCGAUCAGUAGCUGGUCUGAGAGGAUGAUCAGCCACACUGGGACUGAGACACGGCCCAGACUCCUACGGGAGUCAGCAGUGGGGAAUUUUCCGCAAUGGGCGAAAGCCUGACGGAGCAACGCCGCGUGAGGGAUGAAGGCCUCUGGGCUGUAAACCUCUUUUAUCAAGGAAGAAGAUCUGACGGUACUUGAUGGAUAAGCCACGGCUAAUUCCGGG